AUGAUUUCACAGAAUCAUCUGAUCUGGCUCCUUGUGCUCUGGAUUCAAGAUGCCAAGGGGCAGAUCGUGCUGACUCAGACUCCUGGAGACACUGCCAGGGAUUCCGGGGACAGAGUCACCAUCAACUGCAAAGCCAGUUCCAGUGUUAGCAACAGCUACAUGCACUGGUACCAACAGAAAUCAGGACACACUCCUAAACUCCUUAUCUACAGCACUUCCACCCGUCCCUCUGGGAUCCCAGACCGGUUCAGUGGCAGUGGGUCUGGCACUGACUUCACUUUUACAAUCAGCCGGGUAGAAGCUGAUGAUGCUGGAGAUUAUUAUUGUCAACAAGCUCAUAGCUUACCUCUCACAGUGAUACAGAGCAUUGCAAAAACCUCCCUGCUUUCUUCAGCUUCAGUUCCUCACUGUAUCUAA